UCUCUCUCUCUCAUUCAGGAGGCAGGCUCCCUCGAAAGAGUCCCUGAGUUAGGCAGUCCCUAACAGAUCUAUAGGCAAACUUUGAGGGGAAAUCGAGAAGCUAGCAAGGGAAGUGGGUUCAACAUUCAGAUGGGUUGAGGAACUGCUAACGGGAUGGAAGAUUCAUUGGCCAAACAAGGGGUCCAUAGGGAACAUUAUUUCUGGGCAGCAUUGUAAAAACUAAAUACAUGGGUGGCUGGGUAUUUUAACUAUGAUAAAUGCUUGUUUUGGCAUUGGCAAUAAUAUGUUUAGCUUCCAUUUAUUAUGCUUCUGAUUUUCCCAAUGUAUUCCAAUGUCCAUCUUCUCUAGUAAGACAUUCACAGGGACACCUCUGAUUUAAUUUUACAGAAAUUAAGUUAUUUGUCUUGGGAAAAAUAGUUUGCUUUGGCUCAGUUCUUCUCUAGGUAACAAAAAUUUAUCUUUUGCAUCUCUGAUUGAUUUUAUACUUUUAUUUCAUGUGAGGGGUCCAAUGAAUUGGGGAUGUUUUUUCUUUUGUUCGUGUUUUUAAGCGAGGUGUUUCUGAAUAACCACUCUUCUCUGUAUGUUGCUUUCUUUCUAUUCUAUUCACACUCCAAUUUCUCUCCUUAUCAGUUGCAGCAUGCAAAUAGGUUGUUCCUCUUAUUGGAAUCUAUUGUUUUCACAAUCUUUUACCUUUCAAUCUAUGAUACUUGAAUACCUCCACAAGGGUGCUGUGUCAUGUUGAAUACAUCAAUUUUUAGUGUAAAUUUCAUAUACACCGUAUUCAGCCAUGCCCUUGCCAUAUCUGUGUAACAAAGCUUCCAAUAUUCUUCUUUCAUUACCAAAUAAUCUUGGGUAGUGACCCUUUUCCUGGCUUCUUUAAGUCAUUUGGUAUAGUUGUUGAUGUAAAGAAGUUUAAAGAUGCUGGUCUGUGCACACCGCCCAUAAAGAAGUUUAUGGGGUUGAGAAUCAACCUACCUGCCAAUGUUCACACUGAUAGAUCCCCUGGUUUAAUUUCUUUGUUCCUUUUUCUAUUUUUAGAUAUAACAAAAAAAAGUAUUUUAACUUGGGAAAAUGGAUGAAUAUAAUAGUUUAUGUUUCAUUUACUAAUUUAGUUUUCACCAAGGUCUAGAGUCCCAUUUUCAAAAACUCUUGGCAUUUUUGUUUCACUGUAAGUGAAUGCGAGAUUCACAUUUAAAGGUUUCCAGUGAAAAUAUAAUUUCCUGCCUGAGCUAUUAUGUUCCUUCUCUUAUUGUAAAAUUUCACAAUUAAAGGUGGCUUUAGAUUUUCCUUUUUCUUUUUCAUUGAAUAACUUGCAUCUAUCAAUUCAUGUCUUCUAAUUACUAGGAAAGGCAUCAAUCAAAGUAAGAAAUCAUGUCUUCUAAUUACCUCUAUCAAUUUUAGAGUUAUCCCUUGCUUGAGCACAUGAAAAACAAGUCUGUAAUAUAUUUAGUGAUUGUAAAUUUUCUUUGCAUUUGACUUCUUUCUUCUUUUUGGUUAUUUCGGACUUUACAUCAAUAUUUGGAUUUAGGGAAACCUCUUCCUUUCCCUGAUGCUCGUCUAAUAAAUGGCUAGUCUCAUACCUCUUUUAGUGGAUGAUCACGAUAACCUUCAGCAUUGAAUAAAAGCUUUAUUUCUUAAAAAGAUAAUACUCCUAAUAAUUAAAAGUAGAAAAACCAUAUUUGAUUUCCAAGGUGUUUUAGUACAAAUAGCCCCUAAAUAAUUGAAGGCAACGGAUGAGGGAUAAUAGUUUGGUGUUUAUGGAAUCUUGUAUGAGGAGUUCUAGCUGCCUACCUUUCUCAUUUUUGUGUCAAUUUUAAUAUUUAUGAUAUUGGAAGUGUUAUCCCAAAUUGUGGAUCCUAGGUUAUAGCUUUCAGCUUAGAAAAUGUGCUUCUAUAUGUAAAAAUUGCACUCUAUUACAAUCCAUAGCAAUUCUUAGCUAUGCAUUGUGUAUUUGUGUUGUGUACUAGCCAGUUCUAGUAUAAAUCUCUCCUUGUGAUGUAAAUUCUAAUAAUGACUUAUAAUCCUAUUGUUGAUACCUUGAGGGAUCACUCAAUGUAUCAAUUACCUGAGCAUAUCAUAAAGGAAGCACUCAAGACAAACCAGAAAGCCUUGAAAACUUACAAUUGGCCAGCUAGCUAGAUCUAUUUAUCCAGUUCAAGUAGUUAGUGUGUCUCAUGUUAUUGUUGUUUCAAUUUCACAUCAGUAUGUGUUCCUGAUAAAUGACUGGAUCCAUUCAAACGCUUCAAAAGUAAAUGGUGAACCGCUAUAUUAAUAGCAUUUAAUGAAUAGUUGAAUAGGACUGUUAAAUUAGACGUUCAUUUGAAUAUGACAUCUUUUUUAUUGUUGCUGAUACCAUAUCAGUUGAAAUGAUAGCAGCUUAAUGUAAUUAGUCCUGAGACCUGUACAAUAAAUAAAUAAAAAAAACUCACCCAUCAACCCAUGCUCCCUAGCCUGGGUUCUUUUUUUAUUUUGUCAUGCAAAUAUUUAUCUUGUUAUACAAAUAAUAUUGGAGACAUUUUCUUAUAAAAUAUUUAAAGGCUCUACUCUUUAUGUUUCUGCAAUCUAUUAACAUCAUUUGUAUGGAUGCAAAACAAGCAAUAGCAGUCAAAAAACCAACUUCAACAGAUUGCCAGAACCAUUUGCAGAAACCCACCUGUUUAUGGUGCUCUUCUGGUCUCCACCAUCUUGGAUGAUCCAGUUUUAAGGAAUCUUUGUGUCAAAGAGUUGAAGGUUCUGAUAUGAGUAAGAUUCUCAUUGCAACAACACUAUCAAGCAUGGAGCUCACAGACCAAAGUAGAACUUCCCUUGGAAAAGGAGAAAUUGAACCCCUAGUCAAUUUGUUUGAGGUUUAACAUACACAAGGAGCAACUCCUAAUGUGUGGAUGGAGACAAAGAGGAUAAUUUUUUACAUGUUGAGUUAAAUAUAUGGAUGACAAAUACCUCUUCACAAGGGCAAACCCAUCUGAAAGUCAAUAUCUGGUGGAGGCAAUCCAACUUUAUGAAAGGUCUUCUGGUCAACAGGGCUCGGAAGGAGAGGAAGAAAAUUUUGCUGAAAAAAUGGCCAAGUACUCUGCAAGUGCCUGAAGAAGAUAGGUCAGCUUUUUUGUGGCAACCCCAGAGCCAAAUGUUUUGAAGUUAGACGUAGAUGGCAAUUUUUUGAGUGAGGGAAAAGCAGGUUUUGGAGUGGUGGCUAGAAACCAUUUGGAUCUUUUUCAAGCCAUCAUUUUUGGUUCCUCAAUUGCAGUUUAUUCUCUUCAAGCAUAAGCCUAUGCCUGUCUCCAAGGAGUUAAAUUAGCAAAAGUCAUCAGUAGGGGUCCUUUUGAAGCUCCUGAUGCUUUCUUUUUUUUUUUUGUAAAGAUAUUCUGGAUGAAUGUAAAGACUUGGACUGUUCCUUUAGUAUGAUCUCUCUUUCACCAAAAAAAAAAAAGAAAAAAGAAAUCACCCAUGUCCACAAAAUAACUUCAGAAUCAGUAACAUCAAAGUGUAUAAAAUAG